rnacentral:rRNA from 1 species
UGCCAGAGGCUACCGCUAUUGGAGUUCGAUUAAGCCAUGCGAGUCGAGAGUCUUAGGGACUCGGCGUACCGCUCAGUAACACGUGGGUAACCUGCCCUAUGCUGGGGAAUAACCUCGGGAAACUGAGAAUAAUGCCCCAUAGUCCACCAUGCCUGGAACGGUUGGUGGAUCAAAGCUCCGGCGGCAUAGGAUGGGCCUGCGGCGUAUCAGGUCGUAGGGGGUGUAACGUACCCUCUAGCCAUCGACGCGUACGGGUGUUGGGAGACAUAGCCCGGAGAUGGAUUCUGAGACACGAAUCCAGACCCUACGGGGUGCAGCAGGCGCGAAAACUUGGCAAUGCGAGAAAUCGUGACCAGGGAACUCCAAGUGGCUGGGGUAAGACCCAGUCUUUUCUUGACUCUUCAACGGUCUUGGAAUAAGGGGUGGGUAAGGACGGUGCCAGCCGCCGCGGUAAUACCGGCGCCUCAAGUGGUAGUCGAUUUUAUUGGGCCUAAAACGUCCGUAGCCUGUUUGGUACAUUCGUGGGUAAAUCAACCAGCUCAACUGAUUGAAUUCUGCGAGCACGGCCAGACUUGGGAACCGGG